rnacentral:lncRNA from 1 species
AAAAACCAAACCAUUUCGAACCAAACCCAGCCUUAGCCAUAAGUACUGGGAGUGUAUAUAAUUGAGAUUUUGAAAAAUGUUAAUUUUUUUUAACAAAUUUAUGAGUAUUCAAUUAAAAUUUUAAGUGAUUUUUUUUUUAAUUUACGUGUAUUUAAUUAUGAUUUUAAGAUAUAGUAUUAAAAAUUUACACAAAUUCGGGCGUAUACAACUAUGAUUUUAAGGAGUUUAUAACAUUUUCGGUUAAACCUAGCAAACAAGUCGUGUUUGUCGUGUUCCUUUCGUUUUUUAGUCAUACCGGCUAUCUUAAUGAAUCGUGUCAUGUUAAUUCGUUAUCUUAACAAGUUUUUAACAUGUGACCUGCUAACAACCCGUUUCAAUAACGGGUUGAUCUGAAAGUUGUUAUUUUUCUGUUGUUUCGUUUUUUAUAUGUAAGAAAUUGAUCUGCCUAAUGUCUAGACUUGGCAAAUGGGUCGUAUUUAUGUUGUUUAUGUGUCAUAUCCAUUAUUUUAAUUGGUGGCUCGAUAAAGAUUAACGGAUUGACAUAGAACCUAUUCUUUUUGUGUCGAGUUAAUGGGCCAUGCAAGAAAUUGUUAGGCCUUUCAGGUGUAUUUGAUUAGGUAUAUUUUAAAGGAUUUUAGAAUGAUGAGGAAUUUGAGGGAAUUGGAAAGAUUUGUUAGUGUAUUUUAUUCAUUCACAAAUCUCAUCUCUUCCUUUGAAAAUUUGAAGAAAUUUACUCAAAGUUUUACAUAGAAUCUCUAUAAAUCAACUAAACUCUCUCAAAAUCCUUUUAUUUAUAAAUCCCUUAAAAUCUUAAUUGAAUUAUAGAUCUAAAUGAUCUUGUUUUUCGGAAAAGCACUUUCACUAUUUAUUUUUUGUUUUUGUUAAAUAAUAGAAAAACAUACACUAAUUCAUCUAAACUAUAAGGAGAUUGAGACUUAGUGCAGAGAGAAGGCCAAUUUAGUGAAGUGUAUGUCUACACCAUUUAGGGCAUGUUUGUUUGGCCUCGUUAAGUUUCUCUGGACUGGCUAGGAUUAAUAGUGAGUGAAAUACCAUGUUUGUUAGCAACCAUGACUGUGUUUAAUGAGACUAAAGGGGACUUGCCUAGACUAAACGCCUCACUAGGCGAUCUUAACGAGGCCCCCCAAAAUUGGGUGGAUUACUAAGAUCAGCUCUCAUUUGCCCCUUUCCACUUCACUCUUCGUCAAUUCUUUGCCUUCCCCCUCCUAUUUUUUCCCAUAAGACUCCUCUUCCAACGAAGCCACCAUGGAUUUGUGGUGAGAAACUCGUUCUUUGAGAAACCCAUUUCGUGGAGUUUUGCAAAUUCAUUUCGUGUAUUUGUGCAGCCUUGCCCUUUUCAAUACCAGAUCCAACUCCCAAAAUUUCAACGCAGAAAACCCAAAAAAUCAGAGACCCAGAAAACCCAAAAAAGCCAAAAACCCAAUAAAACUCAUAAACUGAAAGCAGAUUCAGCCCCAUCUCCCACCUUCGCGCCACUCACGCAUGCAUCCCCCCUCCAACUC